rnacentral:hammerhead_ribozyme from 1 species
GUCCAGCUGACGAGUCCUAAAUAGAACGGAACGCGCGUCCUGCAU